UGGAUCUGUGAUGAGUGUGCGUGGGGCAUCUGAAUCAAGCAUUCUGAUUAAACCCCGUCUUUGACUCUGAGGUCCAG